CAGCACCAGCACCAGCAAUCGCUUUUCCUCCGAUCGGUGAAGCAAAGAACGCUUGCUGCGCCCUCCAUCGCCACGCUUUCCCCGGCCGUCGUCGGGGCUUUCCCCUGCAACUCGUUCUCUGCCGCGACCCAGAGCUCGGUUUCCACCUCGUCGACCGUCACUUCCGCCGGGUUCGCGUUCCCACGGAGACCCGAGUUGCUCGCCGGGUCGGUGCCGGAGGUGAGGUCUUCCGGCUCGUUGCGGGACCAGCUCAAGGAGCUGGAGCGGCGGCUACUGUUGGAUGACGAGGAGGAGGAGGCCAGCGCUUCGGGUUCUGCCGUCACCCAUGCCGCGUGGAGCGAGGCGAUCCAGAGUCUCAUGUCGACGCCCCAGCCCCCGGUGGCCACGACGACUGCGGGCCACCUCUCGCCAUCCCCGACCAGCUCCUCGUCCUCCACCAUCUCCUCCUCCGCCUCCUGCUCGCCUCCUUCUUCCAUGCCUUCCCCUCCUCCCCCUCCCACUGGAACCUCGAGGCAGAUGCUCCUCGACACCGCCACCGCCAUCGGCGAAGGGAAUCUGCAUGCGGCGACGGCGAAUCUCGCGGUGAUCAAGGCUGCGGCCAACCCUCGCGGCGACGCGGAGCAGCGUCUCACGGCGAUGAUGUACGCCACGCUCUUCUCUCGCCUCAACAACCUGCAGACGGGAAGCUCCCACGCGGUGGCCGAGCUCCGCAGCCCGGAGCACUUCGCGGCGACCCAGAUGCUCUACGAUCUCUCCCCCUGCUUCAAGCUCGCGUUCAUCGCUGCCAAUCACGCGAUCUUGGAGGCCACGAAGGACGAGCCCAACAUCCACAUACUUGACUUCGAAGUCGGGCACGGCAGUCAAUACGCGGC
rnacentral:lncRNA from 1 species